rnacentral:rRNA from 1 species
UGGGGAAUAUUGGACAAUGGGCGGAAGCCUGAUCCAGCCAUGCCGCGUGUGUGAAGAAGGCCUUUUGGUUGUAAAGCACUUUAAGCGAGGAGGAGGCUCUUCUAGUUAAUACCUAGGAUGAGUGGACGUUACUCGCAGAAUAAGCACCGGCUAACUCUGUGCCAGCAGCCGCGGUAAUACAGAGGGUGCGAGCGUUAAUCGGAUUUACUGGGCGUAAAGCGUGCGUAGGCGGCUGAUUAAGUCGGAUGUGAAAUCCCUGAGCUUAACUUAGGAAAUGCAUUCGAUACUUGGUAGCUAGAGUGUGGGAGAAGAUUGUAGAAUUCCAGGUGGAGCGGUGAAAAGCGUUGAGAUCUGGGAGAAUACCCAUGGCGAAGGCAGCCAACUGGCCUAACACUGACGCUGAGGUACGAAAGCAUGGGGAGCAAACAGG